GGCCGGGUUCGCACAUUGCCGCAACAUUACUGCCAGUGUGCUGGUGGUGUGCUCUGACAUAAGUAGUCCGGGUAUUAUGAUAGUCCCAGAGAGAGUCCAACCGAGAAAUAUUUUCUCGCAUACAAUCUGAAAUACCAGAAAUGAUUAGAAAGUCAUCGCACAUAAGAAAAAAAAAUACUACGUCUCGAUGAACAUCGAUCGGUCACUGUUUAACCUUAUCUUGUGAUCUUGAUAUCUUUGAUGGCAUUGUGUUGGCCUAUUUUUGACGUAUCUUUAAAAUCAACAAAGAUAUUUGACGUGCAAACGCUAGGUGACAUAACCUUGCAUAUCGUAAGCAUACUGAAAAUGAUAGUAGAAGUGGAUUUCUUGUACAUCCCAAUUGUAAGUAAAACUAACCUUUGAAAAAUAUUCAGACACAAAUUGGGUUACAUUAGGUACCGAUUUGGUGAACUUAACCUCUUGCAUUAUAGUAGCAUGCCAGACUCGUCACGAAGAUUUCGAACGUAGUCUGUUAAAUAUGGAUGUUAUGGAUAGAUAUGGGUGUUAGUAUUGUUGUCAAUAUUUGGCAAUUACAAUUAAUAUAGACAAAUAUAAAUGAUCUUCCUUGCAAAA